rnacentral:snRNA from 1 species
GUGCUCACUCCAGCAGCACACGUACUAAAAUCGGGACAAUACAGAAAAGAUUAACAUGGCCCCUGAGCAAAGGUGAUAUGCAAAUUCGUGAAGAGUUCCAUGCUUUU